rnacentral:tRNA from 1 species
GGGGUUGUGGCUCAGUGGUAGAGCGCUUGCCUAGCAUGCACGAGGCAGUGUGUUUGAUUCUCAACACCA